rnacentral:pre_miRNA from 1 species
AUAAUAAACAUGCUUAGGUAGUGUUGAGUCUAGUUGUAUAAAAAUUUUAGUUCUUACACUACUAGACUCAACACUACCUAAGCAUGUUUAUUAUA